UCAGGGCUUGCAUUACACUUCAAACUGAAGUUUGUAACGUGCUUAUCCUCCUCACCUCGCUGUGGGAUUCCUUAGUUAGGUUAAACAGUUGUGCCUAAUUCAAAGGGGUCGCUUCGCGUGUGACACAAAUGGAGUGAUAGAAAUAGAGAAUCACCCCUCCCAACGUCUCCGGCCUUUAAGGUUUCCAGAGGCCCCCGCUGCGUGCUUGUAGGUAGGUAGAUAUAAUCAAGACUACAUAAAACAAGUGGUACUCAAGCAAUUGCUUACCAUCCAGCGACCAAUACCUACCUAGCUCCCCAAGCAGUGCGGAAGGGCCAGAUGAACUCCCAUCCCUUCAAAACUCUCCUUCUGCAUUAAGUUAUAUGGUAUGGAAUAUCUCUUUGGCCAGUUUAAGUCAGCUAUCCUGAUUCGGUUCCGUCCCACCUCAUUGGGCCCUCACACCAGCUCUUCACUGAGAUGCUGGAACAGCUUUGGCUCUGCACAGCACUGCUUGGCAACAGCUGUAAACAUUGUCGUAUUAUCAACUUUGCUUUUCUUCUAGAACCAAAACAUAGCAUCAUACCAGGCGCUCUGAAGAAAACAAUUCCAUCCCAGCUGAAACUGAGACAUUGAUCAGAGGAGAAAAGAACCCUCUGUAUUUUGAACUUGAAGUACCUGGAAGUUGGCUUCCAAGCCUUCUGAACUAAGAAGUCCUUUUCUUUCAGAGUCAGCCUGUGAUUCGUGGUAGAUGCAUUCUCCGUUUCCAAGUCAGGCGAUGCGUUAACUUUCUUUUUGAUUUCUCUCAUUUCUGAAGUAGCCUGCAGGGUCAAGGCACAGUCUCUUGAGAUGUGGUUGGGGAGGGUCUGGUUUCAGUUCUUUCUAUGGGUAUGUAUCCAGUAGCUCUGUGGAUUGGAAUCCGCCUCUCUGUUCCUGGAGAGUUUGAUUGCCUUUCUCGGCUCCUCUGUUUAGUGACCUGAAGCCUGCAUGAGGUCUAGCACAAGCUUGAUGGUCCGCUAGUAAGAGAAACUCUGCUUAUUGUCAAGAACGAUCUGAUGAGAUAUGUGAUUAUAAGCAAAUAGAUGGGAUUUCCUGUCUGGUGUGCAAACAAGCUGCUGUCUCUUGUGAGCUGUCUUGCCUGGUAUCCCACGUUGCUUUCUGGAGUUGAAAAGGAAGUCUUCCGUAACUGGAUCUUUGAUAAGAAGAGUUGAGGUACUUAGCGGGACGAUUGGUUUGAUUGGUUUGAGCUUGUCACGCCAGGGCAGUUUGUUGGCCUGCCCUCCGCAACAGUGCGGCAAGAAGUAGCAAGACACGUGCGCUUCUGUGAGUACUGCUGAAGUGGAAGUUCUCUGGCUUCCAAUGUUUGCACAGUAAAUUCCGUGACAACAUGAACAGACAGCAGAUCUCAGAGGAGUUACAGGCACCUUCCCAGAAGAGAAGCGGUCCAAAGUCUGCAGUUUCCAAUGAAACGUUGUCUGAGAACUGCUGAAAAAGCAGGGCCAGCAAGAAAAAGACCAUCAUCUCUUCUUGAACGUGACUUCUUAUCCUCACGUCGAAGCUAGAGAAGCCUUUUCAUCGUAUAACAGCAAAAGGAGGAAGAGUGGGUUAAACACAUGAGCUGCUACCUGCACUGCGUAUUCUACGAGGUACUGAUAGGAAGCCUAAAAAGUAUAGCACUCCAACCCAGUAGAAAAACAAGAACUUUUCAGUUGACUGGACCUUCGUACAGCCCCAACUGAGGGCAAAGGGCGAUCCAACUAUGUUUAUUGCUAACGUUAAUUUAGCUGAGGAUACUUUUUAUCUGAUGCAAACGUAGAUUUCUUUUCCCCCCUCUCAGCAUUUACAAAUGCGUUCUUUUAAGAUGUUAGGUAUCUCUGCAUGUUCAGUGGGACCUUCGCUUAACCAGAGCUUUCCUUUUUCAUCUGCACUGUUGAUGAUAUCUUCCCUCUUUUCCGUGCAUCUUGUCUUGUAGGGAUAUCCUUUCCCUCCCCCACAUCAAGCCUAAAAUCUGUUCUAGGUGAAAUUAGAGGAAGAAAAAGCAAAAAGAAACGAGGAAUAUAGCCAACCUUUUUAAUUAGAGUAUAUUGUACUUCCAAACUCGAUACACUAGAAAUUGGCAAUGCAACGUAAGAUGCAAAGGAAUAUACCAGUUACUGUCAAAAUGACCCUGUACAGCCUUAUAAUGCAAAAAGCUUUAUACAAUACAAACUUUUAAUAAUAAUGUACACAGACCUUGACAGAAUGAUAUUUGAACAUAAUACACCAAAUAAAAAAAAAACAGAAGAAAGAAAAAAGUGCUGAGAACUUUAACUGAAGUACUGAAUGGAAAAACACACUAGCCUUCAUUAAAGAAUGCAUAGGGAUAAACUAUUAUGAAAUUAGCUUUAU